CCUGGAUGCCUCACAGGCACCUUAAAGUCAGUGGCCCAAACUGAAAUCCUUCCUGCCUCACUCCUCCUGGUCUCUGCCUGCCAAUAAUGUAUGUCUGCAUUCUCUGUCUCACUGAAUGGACAGCACUCACUGCUUCCUGACUCUUCAUGGUCCUGCCCCACACAUCUUUGUCCAUCACCAAUUUUCACAUUUAUUUCAACUCCUUACUGUCAUUUCAGUCUGUCUAGUUUUCUUCAUCCCCUCUCAGCACCAUCUGUCAUCAGGAUUAACAUGAGACCACCCUUUAGCUAGUCCUCUUAACUCCAGCUGCUUCUACCUCCGCACAGCCCCAAAUUGAUCUAUAUAAAAUGCAGACAAGAUCUAGUCACUUCCUGGCUGCCUUCAGGGUACAGCUCUUCAUUACCUGGCCCCAUCUUCUCCAGCUGUGUUCCUUACUUCACCUCUUCUCACGAUAUCUCAGCUGUCCUAAAUAACCUGCCUUCCUCCAAAUUCUCCAUGUUCCAGUUUGUCACAGAUUCCUAGGUGAGAAGCAGGAAUUGGGAGUAUUAUUGUUUUUGUUCUUAGGGGGCAGGUACCAGGGAUUGAACCUGGGGGAACUCGGCCACUGUGCCACAUCCCCAGCCUUAUUUUUUAUUUUAUUUAGAGAUAGAGUCUCACUGAGUUGCUGAGCGCCUCACUUUUGCUGAGGCUGGCUUUGAACUCACAAUCCUCCUGCCUCAGCCUCCUGAUCUGCUGGGAUUACAGGAGUUUGCCACCACAUUUGGCAGGAUUGGGAGUUUUAUAACACAAAAUGCCUAUAUCAUAUGUCAGUGAAGAAACUAAGAGAGACAGGGAAUAUGAAGCCUAAAGUAAGCAGAAGAAUUAGUUAGAGCUAAAAAUCAAUGAAAUGAACAGCAGAAAAACUAAGUGAAAUCAAUGAAAAUAAGAGCUGGUUGUUUGAGAAGAUCAAUAUAAUUUACAAAGCCACAGCCAUACUAAACAUUAAAAAAGAGAGAAGAA
rnacentral:lncRNA from 1 species